rnacentral:lncRNA from 1 species
UAUGUUGGAAACACUUGAUGACCAAAUGACUCGUUUCUGUCCAUUCAAUACCACAAGAUUUCCAUCUUCAAAUAUUGUGACAAUCCCAUUAGAAUCAUUCAGUGGUUAGUUUCUGUUAGCCACCCAUAUGAUUGUAGAUUGAGACUUCCACCAAAUUCCAACGUAGCGGUUUGUAGAAUUUUUAGGGCUAAAGAAUCCAAAGGUGAAGUUACCGUCUUUGGAGAUUAGAGUUUCAGGGUCUUUGAUAAAUUGAGAUGAUGUGAUGGUGUCUAUACCAACACUAACAUGUAGCAAAUAGCAACACAAAAUGAAUAAAACAGUAGCUGAAAUCCAUAAGGAAGAUGAGUAGUAUAUGAUCAACAGUUAUUUCAUUUUUACUACAUUAUCGUAUCAACUUGUAUCCUCUCAGAUCUAUGAGAAUGAGAACAAUUUCUGUACCUCACAUGAUUGAUAAAAUAAUAUCAGUUUGUCUAAAUGCUUUUUAAAACUAUAACUUUGAAUCAUUCCUUGUUUACAUCAAAAGCAACCUCAUCUAGUCUAAUAUUACAUAGUUAAUUACUUUAAUCAUAAAAAGUCAAUGAUUUUAAAAACGAUAAAAAAAGGGUAUCCUGUUUUUCAUGAACCACUUUAGAUUGUUUAUACAAGUGCACCAGCAGUUGACUUGUCACAGCAGGUUAUAUGAGUCUUUAUAAUUUGAGAACUCACUUCUUUAAUAGGAAAAUCUAUUAACAGAAUAUUUUUAAACAAUCAUUUUAUACCAAAACUGAAAUCGUGGACCAUAAUUCCUUGUUUGCCUCUUUUAUGAACAAGUCUCCAAUGAAUACAUGCAUGGUUCUUGUCAAGUGUAUCACAUUGAAAUAGUUAUGAACUGAACAUGAGUUUGUAAGUGAGAGAAAAUCUUCACCCUAAGAUUCGGUUUUGUAAAAUUGAGUUAGGCCCAACCGAAAUUUUAAUACUAUUACUUUUUCUACCCAAAGGAAGCGUUUUCCAUGGUCCAACCGCCCAAAAAUGCAUCAAACACUGUACAAACCGUCAAAACCUUUGGUGAAACGCCAUCGUCCAAAAUAACUGAGAGUUUUCGGAUUAUAUAAUCCGAACCUCUCUAAAUAUUUUCGGAUUAUAUAUUCCGAACAGCGCAAGAAUGUGUUUAAGAAUGAUGAAGAUCUUCAAACUUUCUUUCUAACUAUGUGUUUAAAUAAACAUCUUUAUCGUAGAGUUCAGCAGAGAGUUUUUUGACAGCAUGAUGAAGAUCUUCGGCAUGUUGAAUAUCUUCAACAUAUACCUAUAUAUUAUUUAAAAUAGAAUAAAAUAAAAUAAAAUAAAAUAAUUCAACAACAUAAAACUAACCAUAGAUCUAUAAUGAAUUUAACAACAUAAAACACGUAAUAAAAACAACAUAAAAAACAUAAUAACAUAAAACAUAACAGAUCACAGACCAGCUAAACUAACGUAUUCUUCUGGUGCGUCCAGCAGUGCCCUGAACAAUUUCGGAUUAUAUAAUCCGAAACAUCCCUCGCGCUACAUAAAGUACGAAGUUUCAGAUUAUAUAAUCUGAAAAGUUUCGAUAGGGUUUCAUAUUAUAUAAUCCGGGACAAGUCAUAGUUUCAGACGGUGGUAUGUUACUCAUUAAACACAUUUUUCAAUGGUUUUUACCAGCUUUAAUAGAUGCUAAAACGCCUUUGACACACUUUUUUUUUAACUAUGCAUUAAGUGUAGUUACAAAGUAUGCACCCAUUCCCCCUCAUAGAAAGAGUGUAGUUACAAAGUAUGUUACUCACACUCUCUCCUCCUCUUCCUUCCUUCUACAACAAUGUGUUUUCAUCGUUGGCCUUUCAUCGAGAUUUACACUCUUACUUGUUCUUUUGUUGAUUGAAAGCUUCAUACUAGGCAGUAAUGUAUCUGUAGGUUGCUGAAUACUUUGCCAUAAAAUGUUUCCAGUUGUAAAAGGACAAGGUUACCAAAGUCUGAAAAGCUGAGAACUUGUAUUUGUUGCUAUGUUGGAAACACUUGAUGACCAAAUGACUCGUUUCUGUCCAUUCAAUACCACAAGAUUUCCAUCUUCAAAUAUUGUGACAAUCCCAUUAGAAUCAUUCAGUGGUUAGUUUCUGUUAGCCACCCAUAUGAUUGUAGAUUGAGACUUCCACCAAAUUCCAACGUAGCGGUUUGUAGAAUUUUUAGGGCUAAAGAAUCCAAAGGUGAAGUUACCGUCUUUGGAGAUUAGAGUUUCAGGGUCUUUGAUAAAUUGAGAUGAUGUGAUGGUGUCUAUACCAACACUAACAUGUAGCAAAUAGCAACACAAAAUGAAUAAAACAGUAGCUGAAAUCCAUAAGGAAGAUGAGUAGUAUAUGAUCAACAGUUAUUUCAUUUUUACUACAUUAUCGUAUCAACUUGUAUCCUCUCAGAUCUAUGAGAAUGAGAACAAUUUCUGUACCUCACAUGAUUGAUAAAAUAAUAUCAGUUUGUCUAAAUGCUUUUUAAAAC